GUUAGAGGAGAAACUGCGUGUGAGAAAAGGAAAGGGGAAGAGAAAGAGGACGGAGGCUACGGGCUCCACCUCCCCGCUCGGUGCGGCGCUCCAGCUGCUCUCAAACCAACUGCUCAAUUCUAUUCACUGCCGCGACGGAACAAAAAAGUGGCUAUUUAUUAGAAUACUUGUUUGGUAUUGUUCGGUGCCACACAAAAGGCGUUUCAUUAUGUUGGGGUGGGGAGAAAAGCCCCUUUCCUUUUUUUUUUUCCCUUUCCUUUUCUUUUUUUUUUUCUUUUCUCUGCAGACCGAAACAAUGACUUGAAAUUGUCUUUAAAGUCUUUUCUAUCAAUAAUAAAUUUCAUUUUCUCCUCUGUCUCCCGCUCUCCCUCUCUCCCCCUCUCCUGUGCGGUGUGUAUGUGUGUGCGUGCGCGUGUGUGUGUGAGGGGGAGAGAGAGAGAGCGAGUGAGCGACAGAGCGCGGAUGGUGAGUGUGCGUGUGUCGCCGGGCACUCGUGGCUCGGGCACAGCCGCCUGGGAGCUGCGGCUGGGCGAGGGGCGAGGAGGAGACCGCCGGCUCCGUGUCGCGCUGCCCUGCACCCGCGGGCACGGUCGGAGGAAGGUGUGAGCUAGGCUAGAGCAGAGGAAAAAAACAAACAAACAAACAAACAAAAGUAAUAAUAAUAAGGCUGCCCCUUCAGAUGAUAUGUUGGGAGGAGGCUGGAGCUGGAAGAGCAACUGUGACAUUUGUGAUCACCAUGUGGUGAGCAGAGGAAACUCCCCUUUCUUCCACCCUCAUGUCAGGAGCCUGUGCUCAAGAAGCAAAGGUCUGUGCCAUCGAUAUCUAAAAAUGCUGGGGGUUGUGUUUCCUCUUCCCAAUCUCUUAUCUCACAGGAGUCAGUGAAUCCAAAACUUCUCCAAGGAUAGUCUUACUCCAGUGAGCCUACAGAGAUGGAUACUGCCCAGCCUCUGACACUGCCUAUGACACAGACACAGCGGUCACACAUGAGAGUGCAGACUUCACUGCAGACUGUUCAGUGUUCAUGAAGAAGCCGAGAAGAAAAUGUCAUUGGUCUGAGAGAGCUGGGCUAAGAAACUCUUAAAUGCAUUCUUUGCAGGACCAAGAAUAAUUCAGCGCUUCUUUCCUACCCCUUAAAGUGGCUCUUUCCCUUUAGCUUGGUUAGUGCAUUCUGUAACAACACCACAUAAAUUACAAAGGAAGAAAAGGAUGGAAUUAUCUAAAACUAAAUAAUUAUUCACUGUGAUUUGUUUGAUUUCCCAAAAUUAAAGUUGCUCCUUUCAGAAUGCAGUGGUGGAUAAGAAGGAAAAGAGGAGAGUAACAAAACCAAAGACAGAUGGAAGUGAAUGGGGAAAACAACCAAAUGAGCAGCCACCAUUUCAUCUUCUGGCUGGAAGAUCUUUCCCCUCACCUGAGAGAGUUUUCCAAGGAUAAAUACUAUGUCAAAAGAAAGCCUGUUUUCAACUACAUCAGCCCUGUGGUCAAAUGAGUAAUGCAAGAACUCAGACUGCUAUCUGCCUCAUGCAAAUAUUUCAGUAGUGAUGAUAUGCACUGUAAGCACCCUUCUCUGCCAGGUAUUUGUUCACUCAGCACCUCAAAACUUUACCUCUUAGACAAAUGGAUCCCCCAAAACCUAUGUUCUAGGAAGUGUUGGACAUGCUUCAGGUCUGGGUAAGUCACUUACUGGCUUGAAUGCAGAAACCCAGAGGAAAAACAAUCUUUUGCAGCCAGUGCCUACACAGAGGACAGCAGCAAUGCACACAGCCAGGGGCCAAAUGUCCUGUUCCUGUAACUGGGUGCAUCUCUUCCAGAAAGGAGGAACUCCAGAGAGGAGCAGCUUCUUGUCAUGCCUUCCACAUAGGUGUUGCCAUGGGGCUAUGCAGAGGGUGUGGCCACCACAAUUCCCAGCAGAUGGUGAGAUGGACGAUGUACUCAGGGUGCAGAACAAGGGUGGGAAACGGGGGCCCACAAGGUCAUGUCAACACUCUCCACUCAGACAUUCCCCCUCCUACAAGAGCCCUGUUCUAAGCUCAUGGUGCCAGCUGGACCUUACCCCUUCCCAGCAGCCUGCCAGCCUCACAUGCCAGGGAUGUCAGCCCAAAGGUGGGUCAGCCACCUCCACUCAGGCUUUUUGUCCCUUCAUGGAACCAAACCAGUUCCCAUCAACCCAGCUGAAUGCCCUUGGCUCUCCUGGGAGGGAAAUAGCCCCAGAUCUGUUCUUCAGGCAGGGUGCCCAGAUAAGCAGGGACCACCUCAUUUCCCACUGCCCAACAUUGAGCGGGGGAACUAACUGGAAACAGGAUCAGCUCCUCCCUUGAGAAGCUGAACUUUGCUUUUCCCUCACAGCUGGAACUUCUGCCCCAUCCCUCCACCAGCCCUAGUCCUGGUACAUUCAGACACAGAUAUCCCUGCUCAUGCACUGACUGUAUUUUUUCAUGUUUAUUAUCAUCCAGCCCAGUGUAGUGCUAUCUGGCACACACUGGAGGAAGAAAACCAUGUAUUCAGCAAAUGGAGCAUACAGGGUUUAGGUUUUGUUUUGUCUUGUUUUUCUUAUUCCAGUUUCAAUAUAAAACUAUUUGGAAAAAGAUAGCCAAGUAACUCUCUGUCAUGAAAAAUGAUCCAAACUCCAAGUUAUGAGAUUAAAAAUUACUGGAGAGCAGAGAUGCCAGGAAGAGACAAGAGCCCUCUCUGCUGAAAUACAGCAAUGAAGAUGAGGAACUGUGCAGCAUAAUUCUAAUACAAAUGGUAUAUCCCACUUCAAGAAGAAUUAAGUGAAAAAUAUAAAUAGCUACUAUUUACAAAGUAUCCACAGUAAAUCCAAACAGUGGGAUGGAAACUGAGAUUGACUAAGUGAAACCUGCCCUAAGUGUGCACCCAAGAGAUCAACAGAAAUCAAUUUGUCCGGCAGAGAUGCCUCCUGCUUCAGAGAGCUCUUCACAGCCUUGGUUCUCCCAAGGAAGCCUGCAUACCUGGUUUUUAUUGACUUUGGUUGCUACUACAGCUAUUAUUUAUUGGUCAGCUUUUCGGAUGGGGAACCAACUGUCUUGCUUGCCUGGCUGAGGUUCUGGUCUCCAUGCCUGCUGAUCCUCAGCAUGGUGCCAGCUCAUGUAUUGGGAAUUACAUGGCAGGAGCAAAUUCUUUUCUUCUCCAGCCAUGCUGGCUGUCCAGGUCCUUGUCUGCCAUAAGAAUGAACAACUGUCAGGUUCCAGCUCCAAAAAUCCUUCCUGCUCCCUCCUCUGUGCUGCAGCCCACGCUGGCCUAGUUUUGAAUCAUGCUGGAAAAUGGAUAUAAGCAGCUAAAAUUUCUUUCCUCUGCAAGGACGCAGAAGCAAUACACCACGUGUGUGCGAGACUGUGUAUCAAUGAAAGGUACAAAAAAUUAUUUCAGCAAAAGGCUCUGACUGGAAGAGCAACGGAGAAGCCAAGGGCCUCGCGGUUCUAUAACAAGUUCAUUCAGAAAAUCACAAGGCAAUGUGACAGCUGGAGUGAGGAAAGACUUGUGGCAAUAUUUUUUUAAGAAUUGCAUGAUGAAAAAAUAAUAAUAAACAUUAACAAUGUUUUUUGGUUGGUUUUUUUCCCCCUUUUUUCUUUCCCAUGACAUAAACAAUAGUACUCUGGUCAUAAGCCAAAACCUGACAAAGGUCCAAGGUUGAAAAGGGUUUCUUUGAGCCUGUCUUCCUGGUAUAAUUAUUAUAGGUUCAGAGGAACCAGAUCUGGAGUGUUGUAAAACUCAACACAAUGAACUUGACAGACAGCCAGAUUUCUGUUUUCAGCCAGUUUAGGGUUACUAUAAUCUCAUUAUUAUGCUUGAAAGACGACAAGUAAUAGAAUCUCAGGUAGCUGUUCUGUCUUUACUCAGCCGCAUCUUCUCUUUUAUGCCAAUUUCCCUUGAUUACCUGAACUAGUGAGGCUCGGUUUUCAACCACUUAUCUUCCAGCAAUAAUCAUCUGAUCAGCCUUACAAGGUUCUCACUGCACUCAACGGUUUUAAUGGGUCAAGCGUUAAAUUAACCCUUUAACCAUACCCCAGGAGAAUACAAAACUUAUUAAAAAACAAUUUACUAUUCAGUCAUUGUUAACUUUGCAGAGGAGGAGUUCUUUAAACAUAUUUGCUUGUUGUUCCAUCCACUCAUACCUUGUUUUGCUGUACCUUUACCCUUACUAACACAUGAAAUUUUUUUAAAGCUUCUUAAGGAAACAUUUUUCUGGGUUCUUACUUCCAAGGAAACACAAAAUGAAGCCACAGAAAAGCUGUGUGUAUCUUAUGUUCUAUUUCAAGGCAACUUCUCACAAAGGUUAAAUUAAUUUUUCCAUGUAUGGAAAAACAUCUGCAAAAACAUGAUUAAUGUCAGUCAAUGUUGCAUCUCGGGCAGAAUGGCAAGGGUGGUGGAACUUUUAUGGACCUAUCUAUACAAAGGGAAGGGGAGAGUAUUUGUACCAGCUACAGCAGGGAAACAGCCAAGCAGGAGGUAAUUUACUCAUGGAGAUCCAUGUUGGUGUGUAGGGCAGCCAGCAGCUGUGAUGCCACUCCCAGCUUCCACAGAAAACUCUGGAGUCCCCUCUGGAAGGAACCUGGAGGCAGGAGUCUGAAAAUGUUUUCUGGCUUUAUACUUCCCAAGGAUGGUGCACAGCCAACAGAAAUAUGUCUUCUGCCUUAACUCACCCCAAAGUUGGGGAAACCAAGGGGUGUGUCUCUGCAGGAGGAGCUCUGCCAAAGCUGCUGCUCAGAGUAGGUUUGCAGGUCAGGGAACGACGCCGUCAGGAGGGGCUUGAACAGGAGGCAAAGGGCAUCAGAGGCUUUAUCAGACCUCAGUUCUCUUGGAGAAGCAGGGAUCCCUGCAGGCAAGAAUGGACUUAGCAGAGCAGGCUAUCCAUUCCACAGUAGGACAAACUCUCCCUUUCAGCAAAGAUCCAACAGCAAAAAAAAGAGAUAAGAAUAGAAAUAUUUCAUGUAAACCAAGGUGAGAAAAUGCCUCAAUUUACUAGUUGUUAUGAAUUAAGGAUGUCAUACAUCCCAGUGCUACUUCUUACAACAAUACACAGUAGAGAUGCCCAGGGUGUAGAUCUAUCUUUGCUAUCUUCAGCCAAUUCUUACUCACACAAAAUUCUCACUGCUGAUCACAGUGGUAUUGCCAGGAAAUGACUUGAAUGAAAGACAUAAUUUUUUACAGAGACAUCUCAUACAACACUUUCAUCACCUGUAGUUUGUACAAUCCCAUCUGAUCUUUGAAGACAAUUGGAACUGCUUAAGGGACUUUACUAGCUCAGGUCAGUAGUCAUCAAAGGAAUAUUAUGACUGUAAAAUCUGCUGUGCAUGUUAGUCAUUAUAUGUCUGUAUCAAAAUAAUGUGGUGAUUUCAGUCUGCUUAUAAUAUAUUGGUCUUUUGCAGUGGAUGUAUGGAAAGAAAGAAGGCACAGUGCUUAAACAUUAGAUGAUGUGAUGAUUUUGGGUACAUGGGCUUUCAAGAGGAGUCUAAAAGGAGAGCAAGUGUCAGAGUUCAGUGACUCCUUUAGCCUGAAAGUGUUUAGUCUCUGAUCUCCUUUCUACAAAUUUUUGAUCACUAGUCCACAAACAAAUACUCUUCAAGCAGAAAAAGUUCUAUCAAGAGAUAUUUUCCCCCAGUAAUUACUAAAAAGACAUGUAUGUCUGG